rnacentral:rRNA from 1 species
UACGUAGGGUGCAAGCGUUGAUCGGAAUUACUGGGCGUAAAGCGUGCGUAGACGGUUAUGUAAGUCAGAUGUGAAAGCCCCGGGCUCAACCUGGGAAUUGCAUUUGAGACUGCAUAGCUAGGGUGCGGAAGAGGGAAGCGGAAUUUCCGGUGUAGCGGUGAAAUGCGUAGAUAUCGGAAGGAACACCAGUGGCGAAAGCGGCUUCCUGGUCCAGCACCGACGUUCAGGCACGAAAGCGUGGGGAGCAAACAGG